AGUGGCAUUCGCCCUAGUAACGGCGAGUGAAGCGGCAACAGCUCAAAUUUGAAAUCUGGCCCUCGGGUCCGAGUUGUAAUUUGUAGAGGAUGCUUUUGGCGCGGUGCCUUCCGAGUUCCCUGGAACGGGACGCCUUAGAGGGUGAGAGCCCCGUACGGUUGGACACCAAGCCUCUGUAAAGCUCCUUCGACGAGUCGAGUAGUUUGGGAAUGCUGCUCUAAAUGGGAGGUAAAUUUCUUCUAAAGCUAAAUAUUGGCCAGAGACCGAUAGCGCACAAGUAGAGUGAUCGAAAGAUGAAAAGCACUUUGAAAAGAGGGUUAAAUAGCACGUGAAAUUGUUGAAAGGGAAGCGUUUGCGACCAGACCUUUUCUUGGCGGAUCAUCCGGUGUUAUCACCGGUGCACUUCGCCAAGUUAAGGCCAGCAUCGGUUUUCGUAGGGGGAUAAAAGCCUGGGGAAUGUGGCUCCUUCGGGAGUGUUAUAGCCUCUCGCAUAAUACCCUUAUGGGGACCGAGGACCGCGCUUUAUGCAAGGAUGCUGGCGUAAUGGUCGUCAACGACCCGUCUUGAAACACGGACCAAGGAGUCGAACAUUUGUGCGAGUGUUUGGGUGUUAAACCCUCACGCGUAAUGAAAGUGAACGGAGGUGAGAGCCCUUACGGGGGUGCAUCAUCGACCGAUCCUGAUGUCUUCGGAUGGAUUUGAGUAAGAGCAUAACUGUUCGGACCCGAAAGAUGGUGAACUAUGCGUGGAUAGGGUGAAGCCAGAGGAAACUCUGGUGGAGGCUCGCAGCGGUUCUGACGUGCAAAUCGAUCGUCAAAUCUGCGCAUGGGGGCGAAAGACUUAUCGAACCAUCUAGU
rnacentral:rRNA from 1 species